CAAAAACAUUGCUUUCUGAUAACAAAUAAAAAGCACAUCCUGCCCAGUGACAAAAGUUCAACGGCCGCGGUAUCCUAACCGUGCAAAGGUAGCAUAAUCAUUUGCCUAUUAAUUGUAGGCUAGAAUGAACGGAAUAACGAAAUAAAUACUGUCUCUACUAUGACAAUAAAAAUUAUACUUUAACUGAAGACUGUUAAAUACAUUCGAAGGACAAGAAGACCCUAUAGAGCUUAAUUUAAACCUAGAAGUCAUCUAGAUUAAAAUUGGUUGGGGCGACCAAGGAGUACUUAAAAUCAUCCUGUAAAACAAAGAUAAAUAAAUCAUUAAAAUGACCCUAUAAAGCUCACCAAAUAAAGCUACCUUAGGGAUAACAGGCUAAUCCCAUUAAAGAGUCCAUAUCAAUAGUGGGGUUUGGCACCUCGAUGUUGGCUUAGGAUAUCUAUGUGGCGCAAAAGUCACAUAAAGACGGUUUGUUCAACCGAUAACUUCCUACGUGAUCU
rnacentral:rRNA from 1 species